rnacentral:rRNA from 1 species
GAUCCUGGCUUAGGAUGAACGCUAGCUACAGGCUUAACACAUGCAAGUCGUGGGGCAGCAUGACGAUUGCUUGCAAUUGUUGAUGGCGACCGGCGCACGGGUGAGUAACGCGUAUCCAACCUUCCCCAUAGUAGGGUAUAGCCCGGCGAAAGUCGGAUUAAUCCCCUAUGUUGUUUGAAGCGGACAUCUAAUUCAAACCAAAGAUUUAUCGCUAUGGGAUGGGGAUGCGUCUGAUUAGGUUGCAGGCGGGGUAACGGCCCACCUGGCCGACGAUCAGUAGGGGUUCUGAGAGGAAGGUCCCCCACACUGGUACUGAGACACGGACCAGACUCCUACGGGAGGCAGCAGUGAGGAAUAUUGGUCAAUGGGCGCGAGCCUGAACCAGCCAAGUAGCGUGCCAGGAUGACGGCCCUACGGGUUGUAAACUGCUUUUAUGCGGGGAUAAAGUGCGGCACGUGUGCCGUUUUGCAGGUACCGCAUGAAUAAGGACCGGCUAAUUCCGUGCCAGCCGCUGC